rnacentral:rRNA from 1 species
CCCGUGGGCAUCACAUCCAUGGCAGGCAGCAGGCGCGCAAAUUACCCAAUCCCGAUACGGGGAGGUAGUGACAAUAAAUACUGAUACAGGGCUCUUUUGGGUCUUGUAAUUGGAAUGAGUACAAUUUAAAUCCCUUAACGAGGAACAAUUGGAGGGCAAGUCUGGUGCCAGCAGCCGCGGUAAUUCCAGCUCCAAUAGCGUAUAUUAAAGUUGUUGCAGUUAAAAAGCUCGUAGUUGAAUUUUGGGUUUGGCUGCUCGGUCCGCCUAACCGCGUGCACUGAUGCGGCCGGAUCUUUCUUUCUGGCUAACCUCAUGCCCUUCACUGGGUGUGCUGGGGAUCCAGGACAUUUACUUUGAAAAAAUUAGAGUGUUCAAAGCAGGCCUUUGCUCGAAUACAUUAGCAUGGAAUAAUAAAAUAAGACGGGGGUGUCUAUUUUGUUGGUUUCUAGAGCCACCGUAAUGAUUAAUAGGGAUAGUCGGGGGCAUCAGUAUUCAAUUGUCAGAGGUGAAAUUCUUGGAUUUAUUGAAGACUAACUACUGCGAAAGCAUUUGCCAAACGACAGCAUUUGCCAAUCUCCAAAAGAAAAACUAUAAUAG